CGGCAGCCGGGCGGUAGCGGGCCCACGCACAGUCGAUGUCGUACGGAAACGCACCCGACACCGACUCUCUCCGGGGGACCCCACA
rnacentral:tRNA from 1 species